GGAUGUUUUGCAUUCAAGAUGAGCUUGUCAGUGAUUAAUCACCUCUGCAAGGGAUGCCUCUGUCAGCCUGGGGCAGUAAGGGUGCGUGAUAAAAGUCAGCCCAGCUCCUCACUCUCUCAUCCACUUCUCUUGCCUCCUUCUCCUUGGGAGUCAGGUGCAGCUCCAGACUCAAGACAUGUCCUGCAAUGACCAGUGCCAGUCCUGCCAGCCCUGUGGCCCCACCCCACUGGCCAACAGCUGCACUGAGCCCUGUGUCAGGCAGUGCCAGAGCUCCACCAUCGUCAUCCAGCCCGCCCCUGUGGUGGUGACCCUGCCUGGCCCCAUCCUCAGCUCCUUCCCUCAGAACACUGUUGUGGGCUCCUCCACCUCUGCUGCUGUUGGCAGAAUCCUCAGCUGUGAUGGAGUGCCCAUCAACUCUGGCUGCUGUGACCUGUCCUGCAUUUCCAGCUGCAGCAGAUGCCCCCCAUGCUAAAGAUGUUGGCAAUGGCCUUGGCUAUGGACCCCUAGGAACUCAGAUCAUGGUGCCGGACAGACAAUCAAACUUCAUGCUGUUGUUUCCAGACGUUGUUUUCAGGUCAUCUCUGGCUUGUCCUUCAAGGGCAGGCUGAAAGGUGCCUUUCUGAACACAUGGAAAAUGUGUACUUUUCCUCUCUUCCACUCACCCUUUUUUUCUCUUCUUUCUUUUGUGCUCCCCUCAAAUCCUGCUAUGAGGACCCCAGAAUCCAACCUGGGGUGAGCUGCUAAGCUGUCCCCUCUUUUGGAACAGCUGGACAGGAAAAGGGGAACAGAUUCUUGGCUGUUCCUGCUCCUUGCCAUACUGGGGCCUCCAGCUGGAGUGAACUUAUUUCCCUCUUUAGGCUCAUUAAAGAAUUCUGCAAGCCUGCCUGUGUCUCAUACGUUGUCUUUCCACCUACAUACUGCCUGCUGAGGGAGAAAGCCAUUGCUUUGUGGAAAUACCGUGUGCAGGUCUGGGAGCCACAAUCUGAAAAGGAUAUAAAGCUUCAGGAGAGUGUCCAGAGGAGGCCCUUGAAGUUGCUGAAGGGUUUUGAGUGGAAGCUGUAAGAGGAGUGGCUAAAGUCACUAUGUCUGUUGAGUCUGGAGAAGAAGACACUGAGGGUAGACCUCAUCAUGGUCUACGGCUUCCUCACAAGGGGAAGACAAGGGGCAGACACUGAUCUCUUCUCUCUGGUGGCCAAUGACAGAACCCAAGGGAAUGGCAAGAAGAUGUGCCAGAGGAGGUUUAGGUUGUGCAUUAGGAAAAGAUUCUUCAUGCAGGGAGUGGUGGAGCUCUAGAACAGGCUCCCCAGGGUGGUGUCACGGCCAAAAGCUCGACAGUGUUCAAGAAGCGACUGGACAACACCCUCACACUCAUGGUGAGAACUAUGGGGUUGUCAUAUGCAGGGAACAGGAGUUGGACUCGAUGACCCUUGAGGGUCCCUUCCAACACAGGACAUUCUACGAUUCUAUGGAUUUGGUGGAAGCAUACCUAAUUCGUCACUCCUAUAGCACUGGAAAGUGGGACACAUUACAGUGGCUUCUCUUCCUGGCACUGCCUCUUGAAAGUGAGGAAGACAACCCUGGUUACUGCACAGCCAAUGGCCACCAGUCCUUGCCUUGUUGCAAUUCUGCUAAGAAAUACCCCAUUGACACUGGAGAAUGUGAUGUGAACAGGAAUGCUGACAACUGCUGUCCUCCAGAGAGGAUUUGUGGGCAUUUGGGAGGCCCCAGGGAGGUCAGCAGUCCCAGAGACUCUUGGGGAAGAGCACUCCUCUUGCUUGGUGUGCAGCUGUGCUGGGCAAGGUGGCUCAGAAGAAGAAAUUGGCAAAGGAUGGCUGGAAUUGGUAAAGGAAGGUGCUUUUGGAGUGUUCUUCUCAGAGCAGCAGGUCUGUGAACUGGACCCUUCCCCUUAGCCUGGUACGUCGUCUAAGGAGGUUAUCGGGGAUUGAGAGCACCUCACCUCCUCGUUUGGGUGAGUGGAUAUUUACUGGAUAUAUCCUUGAAUGAGCGCUUACCUAACCCAGGCAAAUGUGAGUCCUUGACUAACCAGGGAAGUGUAAACCCUCGUCUAACCCAAGCGAGUGAUUAUUUCUUGUGGAUACCCUGGAGGCAGAGAACUCUUGUUUUGUUUCUUAUGAGUGUGUGUGCAUGUGCAUUGUGGAUCCUCAUUAUUCUUAUGUUGUUGUACCCCAAUAAUCUCCUCAACUGAUAUCCAAAACUGUAUUUUAUGUUGUCGGAGUACUAACUAAGUGUAUGAACCCUGUUCCUAGUCCAUUUAUUUGCUACACUUUUCCAGCUAGAAUAAAGUCUGUUUUGGAACUUA